CUAUAAGUGGAUACUGUAAGUGAACUGUAAAGUUUCCUGUGCGCGGACUUUCCCCUUUAUGAUAACAUGGCAGCAAUGAUAAGAUGUGGCCACAGGGCUGGCACGCUUGGUUGUCCAGGUGAUGGCUACCGUGGAGACAGAGGGCCUGACCGGUCUUGGCCCACACCGUUACACCAACUGUGCCAACUUACCAUCAAAUGGACACUAAACGGCAGCGACACAUAUGCCACCUUCCUCUGCUGUAGACCGUGGGCACAUGUGUUCAAAGCCGAGAAAAAGACAAACCAAUAGGGUGCACAGCCAUUUGAAAUCCGAAGGUUUGAAAUCAGAUUUGCCACCCUCGAAUCUAACCACAUCAGUUAAAAGACUGUUGAAAUAUCUGACCCAGCAUCAGCGGUCUAGAGAUGUGAUUUUGUUGCUGGUGGGCUGUAAGAAACAGAGAAAAGAUUUGCAGAGACAGCCCAUAACAGCUCUCUUGGAACCAAUGACUCAGAUAUGCAGAUGUGUUUACUUCCCUUCUGUUUCCCACCUCAACCAGCACAAAAAAGGCAGGGGGAAUGAAAGUGCCUGAUAAUGUCUUUAAGUGUUUCAUUUAUAUAUUUAUAUGCUGUUAUAAAGAACUCAUUUUUUACUAAAACUUAGACAGGCACUUCAAAUGGGCUCUUUGCCUCUUCUCUCUAUUCCCUCCCUCCCUUCUGAGGGUAUUCAUCUUUUGUCUAAUGCGUAGCGCUGCUCUCUGUUAGUUUCUUUCUGACACCAUGCCAGCAGAGUCAUCUGCAAAGGGACUCAUGUAGGGAUUAAAAACCAUCAACAGCUCCCCUUUAACAGAGAGGUAGAAAAAAACAUUGAAAAAUAAAAAUACAAAAAAAAAAAAAAAAAAAAAA